rnacentral:rRNA from 1 species
UACAUGGGGUGCAAACGUUGCUCGGAAUUAUUGGGCGUAAAGCGCGCGUAGGCGGUUACUUAAGUCGGAUGUGAAAGCCCUCGGCUUAACUGAGGAAGUGCACCCGAAACUGAGUAGCUAGAGUACUAAAGAGGGUCGAGGAAUUCCCGGUGUAGAGGUGAAAUUCGUAGAUAUCGGGAGGAACACCGGUGGCGAAGGCGGCGACCUGGGUAGAUACUGACGCUGAGGCGCGAAAGCGUGGGGAGCAAGCAGG